rnacentral:rRNA from 1 species
GACCCAAAGAUCGAAUGGGGAGAUUCAUCGUCAGCGACGCUGGUUUCGCGAUGGCUCGUGACGACCGCGGGGCCCAACGGCCUUCGCGCGUUUACACGGCCGUCGCGAUACGUCCGGCGGCGUCGGCGUGCACUUCUCCCCUAGUAGGACGUCGCGACCCGUUGGGUGCCGAUCUAAGGCCCGGGUGGGUGUCUGUCGCGUCGCUUCGGCGCACGGGGCAAACCCUCGGUCUUGCCAGUAUCGGCUGCCCGGCGGUACUCGCAAUCAUGGUAUCGGGCCGCAAAAUUCGAACUGCGUCGGGCCCGCCGCAAGCGCGGCCAGCGACAUUCGCGGAGGUACGGACCUGGUGCCGUCCCCGUGCCUGGCCAGCUGUUGGCAGGCGGUGCAUCCUGACAGGCCAAAAACUCACGAAAGUGUGAUACCGGUCGGCGACGCUACUGCUUUGGGUAAUCUCAGGACCCGUCUUGAAACACGGACCAAGGAGUCUAACAUGUGCGCGAGUCAUUGGGGACAAGCAUGCCUAAAGGCGAAAUGAAAGUGAAGGUCGGCCUAGCGCCGACCGAGGGAGGAUGGGCCGCGUCACGAUGCGGCUUCGCACUCCCGGGGCGUCUCGUUCUCAUUGCGAGAAGAGGCGCACCCAGAGCGUACACGUUGGGACCCGAAAGAUGGUGAACUAUGCCUGGUCAGGACGAAGUCAGGGGAAACCCUGAUGGAGGUCCGUAGCGAUUCUGACGUGCAAAUCGAUCGUCGGAACUGGGUAUAGGGGCGAAAGACUAAUC